UCCGACUUAAAGGUCGGCAGUCCCUUUAGAGUGCCCAACUGAAUGAUGGCAACUAAAGGCGAGGGUUGCGCUCGUUGCGGGACUUAACCCAACAUCUCACGACACGAGCUGACGACAGCCAUGCAGCACCUGUGUUCCGAUUCCCUUUCAGGCACACCCACCUUUCAGCAGGCUCUCGGACAUGUCAAGGGUAGGUAAGGUUUUUCGCGUUGCAUCGAAUUAAUCCACAUAAUCCACCGCUUGUGCGGGUCCCCGUCAAUUCCUUUGAGUUUUAACCUUGCGGCCGUACUCCCCAGGCGGUCAACUUCACGCGUUAGCUUCGUUACUAAGGGAGUUAAUCCCCCAACAACCAGUUGACAUCGUUUAGGGCGUGGACUAC
rnacentral:misc_RNA from 1 species